rnacentral:rRNA from 1 species
UACGAAGGGGGCUAGCGUUGCUCGGAAUCACUGGGCGUAAAGCGCACGUAGGCGGAUCUUUAAGUCAGGGGUGAAAUCCUGGAGCUCAACUCCAGAACUGCCUUCGAUACUGGGAGUCUCGAGUCCGGGAGAGGUGAGUGGAACUGCGAGUGUAGAGGUGAAAUGCGUAGAUAUCGGGAGGAACACCGGUGGCGAAGGCGGCAUCCUGGACCAACACUGACGCUGAGGAGCGAAAGCCAGGGGAGCAAACGGGG